GGUUCGAUGGUGUAGUUGGUUAUCACAUCUGUCUAACACACAGAAGGUCUCCGGUUCAAACCUGGGUUGAGCCA